AUCUGUCAAAUGUUCAUUGUGGGUUAAACGGGACAGAGCGGCACCGUCAACGACCUGGAGGGGGCGGGGCAUGAAGCGGCUCAUGUGCAUUUAAAGGGCCAGCGCU